UACGUAGGGGGCAAGCGUUGUCCGGAUUUAUUGGGCGUAAAGAGCGUGUAGGCGGCUAGAUAGGUCCGUUGUGAAAACUCGAGGCUCAACCUCGAGACGUCGAUGGAAACCUUCUGGCUAGAGUCCGGAAGAGGAGAGUGGAAUUCCUGGUGUAGCGGUGAAAUGCGCAGAUAUCAGGAAGAACACCCGUGGCGAAGGCGGCUCUCUGGUACGUGACUGACGCUGAGACGCGAAAGCGUGGGGAGCAAACAGG
rnacentral:rRNA from 1 species